rnacentral:rRNA from 1 species
UACAGAGGUCUCAAGCGUUGUUCGGAUUCAUUGGGCGUAAAGGGGUGCGUAGGCGGCGCGGUAAGUCGGGUGUGAAAUCUCGGGGCUUAACUCCGAAGCUGCAUUCGAUACUACCGUGCUUGAGGACUGGAGAGGAGACUGGAAUUUACGGUGUAGCGGUGAAAUGCGUAGAUAUCGUAAGGAAGACCAGUGGCGAAGGCGGGUCUCUGGACAGUUCCUGACGCUGAGGCACGAAGGCCAGGGGGAGCAAAACGGG